UUGAUUUCUUUCUCUCCCUUUGCAACCUUAUUCUCAUGAAAUUAUACACCAAGUCAUAUAAACCUCAUACAUUUAUGCAAUGAUACGCAUAUUAUGCGAAAAAACCACGGGGUCUCACAUUCUCCCCUCCUUAAGAACAUUCAUCCGCGAAUGGAUUCAAUAAAUUUAUUAGUUGUAUUCUUUGCUGCUACUGUGCUAUUUGCAAGGCUAUAUUUGAUACGUCCGCAAAUCUUAAAUCCAGUUUUUAAAAUCCACUUACAAGGCUUCGUAUAUCUAGCUCGCGACAAGUCAUAUAAACUGCAAUUUUGAGGUAUUUAAAAUCAAAUUAAGUUUGUGUACACGAAUAAUUGUCAAUUAUUAAAAUGCAACUCAGCUUAAGUUGUCAAUAGUUGGGGGUACUUCUUCCUUAUUUCCUCUUCGAAUUCUCAAGUUAUUUCCUCAACGUUAUUAUUUCGCCGUAACACUUUCACAGAAACCACUUCUUUAGUCCAAAUCUUUCUUACCUGCCAAUCCAACAUAGCCACUAACACCUCAGCAUAUGACGAGUCCUUAGAGAAACAAAUAUAUUCAACGGGCAUAAUCCAUGGAGCAUUUCCAAUGCACUUCUAUAACAUAGAUACAUGGAACACUAGAUGGACCACUUUCAAUUCUGAAGGCAUAUCAAGCUUGUAUGCCACACUGCCAAUCCUCCAAAUAAUCUUAUAUGGCCUUACAUACCUUGGAAUCAACUUAACUUGACUUCCUGUUCGUGAAGAAUCAUAUGAUACACUUCCUAGGCAAUACUUUCAAGAAAACACAAUCUUCUAUAUCAAACUCUAAGUCUCGUAAUCAAGCCAGGGAACUGAAAUCUAACAGUCUUCUCUCGGUCGUCGACAUUGGCAUAACAAGUCUUCCACCAAUCCAUGCACAUAUCAAUAACAGAGUCGAG
rnacentral:lncRNA from 1 species